GGAUAUCCCCCUAUUCAAAAAAGCAUAAAAAUUAGAUAGUGAAUUUCACAUGAAGAAAGCAACAAGACCAAACGAUCAAUGAAAAAGCUGAAAGAUUUUCACAAUUUUUUAAAGACAACAGAACCUCACACUCCUGCCAUCCUCCUUAUAUAAAAGCAGCAAAGUUCAGAAGGAAGUUGACAUUUGAAUUGAAAAGUCACCAUGAACAUUAACACAAUCCAUCAGUUCCAUACUUUCGUAAUAUUAGCAUUGAUGACGCCAUUGGCACAUGUUAAUGACCCUAAAGUGCAACUAAAUCUCUCAUCAUAAAACAAAUCUUCUUUGUUGCAUUUCAGGAUUCAAUAUUCACACAUUUUACCAGAAUUUCACCUCCAUGAUCUCACAUUUAUAUAACUAAUGAAACCUAUUUAAGAAUAAACAAAACCCAUUCUUAGGAAGUCUAUAUCCAGUAGCUGUUCAAUGUACAUUAUCGCUUUCUACAUGCUUCUUGCAAAUGUUCUCCAUCAUUAAUCAUCAUUAUCUCACACAUGCAUAAUGUGAAUAGCACACACGAAUAACCCUUCAGACUAUAUUAGUUUUUUCGCCUACUAAACCCAAAAUCUCAACGACCGACAUUCCAAUCAAUCAAAAACUACAAUGAAAACACAAAUAACUCACAUAAAUAACUAGCCAUUCACUCGUUAUCAAAUCACGAGCUCAUUUUUAAACACAAACAACUAUUUAAAGCAAUAAAACAACAAUAACACAGAUCCAAAGCAAACCCAAAUCAGAGCAACAGAUCUAUGAGAACCCAAAUCAGCAAUACAACAGAUCAAACUCCAAAACCCUAGAUCCAACUCUAUUUUAAGCUCUAACCAAAACAUAGAAAGACCCGUCAGCUCUAAAUAACAUAAAAAGCGAAACCCAUAAACUGGAAGAGCCAAAUAAAAU
rnacentral:misc_RNA from 1 species